rnacentral:lncRNA from 1 species
CUUUCCAGGAUUAAAGUUUGUGAUAUACUUAACUCAGGAUUUAGGCAAACUGAAGGUGAAUUGGAAAGCAACUCAUAAGAAUAAGGAAAGAAGUAUGAAAUAGGUGUAAAGAAACUGUUCGUGUACUUGAUGGUUUGCAAAUAUCAUGGGGAGGCUCCAGAUUGUGUUUUCCAAAGAUGACUAAAACAGUAUCAUCUCCCAUUCCCUAUGCUCUUCUAAGACCUUGCUAUUCAUUUUCCCAUUAAGAGGUAAAGUCCAGUUCACCUCCUUUUGAGUCUGGUUAGGCUUGUGACCAAGAGAAUGCAGCAGAAUUAACGCUGUGUGACUUCUAAAGCUAGGUCACAAAAGGCAAGUCCGCUUCUGCCUUCUAAGCUGGGGCAUUCGCCUUUGGUGUUCUGUGCCGCUGUAUAAAGAGUCUGACCAUCCUAAGACCACCAUGUUGUGAGGAGCCCAAGCCACAUGGAGAGGUCACAUAGAUGUUCCAGUGACAGCCCCAAAUGAGGGUCUGCUGACAACCAGCAUCAGCCACCACACACACAGAUGAUAACAUCUCCAGGACUCUAGUUCCCAGAUGCCUGCAUAUCCCCAGGCUCUGAAUCCUCCAGCGGAGGCCCAGACAUUGUGGAGUACAUGCAACCCAUGCCAGCCCUGUCAUGUCCUGUCUGAAUUCCUCACCCACAGUAGUCAGAGCAUAUAAAAUGGUUGUUCUAUGCCACUACAUUUUGGAGUUGUUGGUUUCCCAGCAGCACAAAAUGGAACAGAGGCUUAAGUUUACUCUUACCCUAGAAUUCCAGGAGAUCCUACUGUAUUCUCUUUUAGUCUUCUGUAGAUUUUGAGGAUUUCUACUAGGUUGUGAGGAUUUCUAUCACUUGCUGUCAAACCACUGAAAUUCAUAUUAAAUUGGUAUUCAAAAUGGGGUUGCAGAGAAAAAGUGUCAGAGUGGAUUGGGACCAGCAAGAAGUUAUUGUCCUGGGAUAGAGAGCUGCAAUGCACGUUUAACGAUAGCAGUAUGUCUUGUUCCUUGGGAAUCAGAUGUCUUACUUCAUCAGAUAGCUAGACUUUAGAGGAAUUCAUCAUUUUAAAUGUCAGAAUAUCAGAUUGAGUUAUCGAUUCCUUAUGGCCUUCAGUAAAGGUCAGAGAAGUGGCAAGCCUCAGCCGACGCUGCUCCAUGGAAGUCACCAGAAGAGAAUAGAGGACAGCCCACUGACGCAGAGAAUCAGAGCACAGCAUCCACUAUUAGUUUGGACAAACUGUGGUGGCCACCAGGGGUGUAUGUGUGUGAGAGAGAGAGAGAUUAUGAACUGAUUGAAAAACUGAAGAUUACCAGCAACUGGAAUGAGGAUAUAUAGGAAGGAGGAGCCAGAAAUGUGAGCAAGCCCUUCAGAAUGUACCUUCUCCACCACCAAGUGAAAAUGAAGAUUCCUCCCCUUGUAAUACUCGGUUGGCUGUGAUGCAACAUUUUGGCAAGACUCCAAAGCAGAUUUGCGAAGAAAUGCACCCUGAAACCCAUGCCAAUACUCCAAUCUAUAAUAUCCUGCUCAUGCUCUGAGGUCAUUAAGGAAAAAAAUCAUGAAAAUAGGUGGAGCCCCAGAAUUUCCUCUAAAAAUCAGAAGACUCACAGGUAUGGCUUAGCCCUGAAAGUAUAGCCAGCCAGGAGAUUCACAAAGAUGUUUCAACACUAUCCUGACAAAUAAAAUUCUCAAAAAUGAAACUGGCACAUGGCUGACCAUAGUUUUACAAGAAUGGUCACACAAGAAAAAUCCCUCAAACUAACAGCCCCCUGAAAUGUUCAAGCAUAAGUAUAAAUGAUGUUGGUAAUGGGUGAUUGUGACUAAGACCUCCCUGUCCCACCUCCACAGAGAGAAUCUCCGAGAUGCUCUGGAAGAACAAUGGCCAAGCAAAAUUCUCCCGGAGGACAGAGUCUGUGGCAGUCUUUCUGGGUGACCAGAGUCAAGAGAACCUUUCGAGCUGUUUACAACUUUCAGCAAUCUGAGUAAAGUAUACUCCUGUAAGCAAAAUUAGCAUAUUGCUUUCUCUCUACCUGACUUCUUCAGGGUUUAGAAACUAUUUUUGAGUAUUCUCAACUUACGGCAAUAUAGUUAUUUGCGUAAGUGCAAUGAAAAUCUGUUUUCUUUUGUAAUAGAAAAUGAGUGGAG